rnacentral:rRNA from 1 species
GACGUAGGGCGCGAGCGUUGUCCGGAUUUACUGGGCGUAAAGGGCGCGUAGGCGGCCUGUUAAGUCGAACGUGAAAUCCCCGGGCUCAACCCGGGAACUGCGUCCGAUACUGGCAGGCUUGAAUUCGGGAGAGGGAUGUGGAAUUCCAGGUGUAGCGGUGAAAUGCGUAGAUAUCUGGAGGAACACCGGUGGCGAAGGCGGCAUCCUGGACCGAUAUUGACGCUGAUGCGCGAAAGCCAGGGGAGCAAAGCGGG